AUACGUAGGUGACAAGCGUUAUCCGGAUUUACUGGGCGUAAAGGGCGUGUAGGCGGUCUUGCAAGUCAGAAGUGAAAUUCCUGAGCUCAACUCGGGCGCUGCUUCUGAAACUGCAGGACUUGAGUGCUGGAGGGGAUAGCGGAAUUCCUAGUGGAGCGGUAAAAUGCGCAGAUAUUAGGAAGAACACCGGUGGCGAAGGCGGCUAUCUGGGCAAGAACUGACGCUGAGGCGCGAAAGCGUGGGGAACAAAAAGGAUUAGAUUCCCUGGUAGUCCCCGCCGGAAACGAUGAAUACUAAGUGUAGGGGGUAUCGACUCCCUCUGUGCCGCAGUUAACACAAUAAGUAUUCCGCCUGGGGAGUACGGCCGCAAGGUUGAAACUCAAAUGAAUUGACGGGG
rnacentral:rRNA from 1 species